UACAGAGGGUGCAAGCGUUAAUCGGAAUUACUGGGCGUAAAGCGCGCGUAGGUGGUUUGUUAAGUUGGAUGUGAAAUCCCCGGGCUCAACCUGGGAACUGCAUUCAAAACUGACAAGCUAGAGUAUGGUAGAGGGUGGUGGAAUUUCCUGUGUAGCGGUGAAAUGCGUAGAGAUGCGGCGGAACACCGAUGGCGAAGGCAGCCCCCUGGGCUGAGAUUGACGCUCAGGCACGAAAGCGUGGGGAGCAAACAGG
rnacentral:rRNA from 1 species